GUACACAAAAAUGCACAUGCUGUGAGCUCGAUGAGUAGGGCGGGACACGUGGUAUCCUGUCUGAAUAUGGGGGGACCAUCCUCCAAGGCUAAAUACUCCUGACUGACCGAUAGUGAACCAGUACCGUGAGGGAAAGGCGAAAAGAACCCCGGCGAGGGGAGUGAAAAAGAACCUGAAACCGUGUACGUACAAGCAGUGGGAGCACGCUUAGGCGUGUGACUGCGUACCUUUUGUAUAAUGGGUCAGCGACUUAUAUUCUGUAGCAAGGUUAACCGAAUAGGGGAGCCGAAGGGAAACCGAGUCUUAACUGGGCGUUAAGUUGCAGGGUAUAGACCCGAAACCCGGUGAUCUAGCCAUGGGCAGGUUGAAGGUUGGGUAACACUAACUGGAGGACCGAACCGACUAAUGUUGAAAAAUUAGCGGAUGACUUGUGGCUGGGGGUGAAAGGCCAAUCAAACCGGGAGAUAGCUGGUUCUCCCCGAAAGCUAUUUAGGUAGCGCCUCGUGAAUUCAUCUCCGGGGGUAGAGCACUGUUUCGGCAAGGGGGUCAUCCCGACUUACCAACCCGAUGCAAACUGCGAAUACCGGAGAAUGUUAUCACGGGAGACACACGGCGGGUGCUAACGUCCGUCGUGAAGAGGGAAACAACCCAGACCGCCAGCUAAGGUCCCAAAGUCAUGGUUAAGUGGGAAACGAUGUGGGAAGGCCCAGACAGCCAGGAUGUUGGCUUAGAAGCAGCCAUCAUUUAAAGAAAGCGUAAUAGCUCACUGGUCGAGUCGGCCUGCGCGGAAGAUGUAACGGGGCUAAACCAUGCACCGAAGCUGCGGCAGCGACGCUGAUGCGUUGUUGGGUAGGGGAGCGUUCUGUAAGCCUGCGAAGGUGUGCUGUGAGGCAUGCUGGAGGUAUCAGAAGUGCGAAUGCUGACAUAAGUAACGAUAAAGCGGGUGAAAAGCCCGCUCGCCGGAAGACCAAGGGUUCCUGUCCAACGUUAAUCGGGGCAGGGUGAGUCGACCCCUAAGGCGAGGCCGAAAGGCGUAGUCGAUGGGAAACAGGUUAAUAUUCCUGUACUUGGUGUUACUGCGAAGGGGGGACGGAGAAGGCUAUGUUGGCCGGGCGACGGUUGUCCCGGUUUAAGCGUGUAGGCUGGUUUUCCAGGCAAAUCCGGAAAAUCAAGGCUGAGGCGUGAUGACGAGGCACUACGGUGCUGAAGCAACAAAUGCCCUGCUUCCAGGAAAAGCCUCUAAGCAUCAGGUAACAUCAAAUCGUACCCCAAACCGACACAGGUGGUCAGGUAGAGAAUACCAAGGCGCUUGAGAGAACUCGGGUGAAGGAACUAGGCAAAAUGGUGCCGUAACUUCGGGAGAAGGCACGC
rnacentral:rRNA from 1 species